GGGAGCUGGACAGCUGGCUGGAGGAACUGGAGGGUGGAAAGCGGUGGAAGGAGGAGAGGACAGAAGUUGGGAUGAAGAGAAAACCUGAAAUCCAGUUCGUGUGUAGCUGCAGGGGCAUGCAGGGGCUCCCGUGGGGAGUGAGAAGAUGGCAGUCUACAAGUGGACAGAGAAGAGAUUGUGCGUGGAAGUCGUGAGAGGGCUGGGGGUGAAUGAAAAGAGGAAAAAGUCCGAGAUGAUGGAUAAUGGAGUCUUGGGAGUACCGACUGCUCCUGGGAGAAAUUACAUUGUGAGUGCUUUGAGAUUGGGACCUCAUACUUUCUUCAUCUCUGGGCCCCCAGCUUCCAGCCCAUACAAGGAUUUGGAAUUGAUACAAGUAAAGCUGGAAAUAUGUGCUUUAGAAGGAAGGCCUCAUUGGACUGGAAGAGAUGCAGGGAAAGGCAAUGUUUCAGCAAGGUGGGCUACCAGCCUGUGAGCACUAACCAAACAGAUGAAGGCUCUCCAAUCUGAAGAGGAGACAGAGAUAUUCAGAUUUGACCCAAGUUCACUGAUUGCUUAUUUAUUUUUUGCAUAAUUCUCACAAUGUUCCAUUAUUAUAUCAAGAUAAGAAGAGAUAUCAGAGAGGUUAAAUGCCUUACCAAAAGCCACACAGCUAGGUGGUGAGAUACACUGAAUUUCAAGUUCAAUGCUCUUUUCACUUCAACACAAAAACUUCCAUGAUGUAGAAAAACAUUAAGACUUUGGAUAAAUUAAAUACAGACGUUUUUUCCCCUCUAAAUUCUCUAAAUAUUCAAACCACAUGUGAUUUCUAGAGCCAGAGAGAGGUUGUUUUAAGGCAAAUAAAAGGAAGGAUAGUCUUAUGUUUGGGGCGGUGUGGGAAUAAACAGAAGAAAUGUAUUAUUAUGAAAAACAGCACAGACUGAAAAAGAAAGAAGUUAGAAAAAAUUUAAUAAAAUCAUAGAUAAAAGAUGCCUGAAAAGUCAUGAAAAGAUUAGACUUCCUCUUCUCCCUCUUCUUGAACUGUAAGACUACCCCAAGCUUCUUUCCAAAGACAACCUGGGGCUGUUUGCGGUUUCGGCAGGCCAGCUAUGCCCUCCCAUAGCCUGUCUUUGGCAAAUCUGUUGAAGAAAGUAUUCUGGGCUGUAAUAAAACACUGGUUAUAAUAAAUAUUUAUUUUUCCCUCCCUAAAAUUUUGUCCUGAGAGUCUAGAAUUUAAUAUUAGACAAUCAGAGUAAGUUUAGAGAAAUAGCAACUAAAUUUCAUACAUCAAAAUCAAAUAUAUGCAAAAUCAAUAUACAGAAAUUGAUUGCACUGUAUUUUUUAAAUUAAGUUUA